rnacentral:rRNA from 1 species
AAAAUUUUUAACUUAAUAAGAAACAAAUCUUUAUUUGUGAACUUAAACUGAAAUAUCAAAAAUUAAAGUAUUAUUUUAAGAAAUUUAUGAUAUAAUUAAAAGUACCGCGAGGGAAUAAAAACUUUAUUAAUAAAAAAAAAGAAGCUAAUGAGGUUUACCUUUUGUAUUAUGGUUAUUCAAAAAUCUUAAGCUUAUAGCUUUUUAAACGAAACAAGUUGAGCUAUUUGUUACUUUAAUCCGUAGUUAAUAAACUUGAUUGUAGUAAAAAUUAAAGUAAAAGUAAUAAAUAGGUGCGAAAUACUUACCGUAACUUGUGAUAGCUUUUUUUUAGGGAAAUAGGUAAAAGCCUUCAAAUAAUUUUUUUGGGAGACCAUAGAGGUUGAUCUCUAUGGUCUUAGGGAGAAACAUAAGGAUUAAUUAGGAUCAUUAACCAUAUAUAGUUAAAAGUAAAGUAGGGUUUAAGUACUCAUUUUUAUAAGUGUUAUUUGUACUUAAUUUUUAUUAAAAAUAUAAUUAUUGUAAGAGUUUUCGAAAUUGCUGUUAAAUACCUAAAUAUUCUUAAUAAGGAAAAAUUAAUGAUUAAAUUAGUAAGUUUCUUAUUUUUUAAAGAUAUAUACCUCAGCUUAAGUUAAUAAAAAAAGCUUUUAUAGGUUUUCUUAUUAAAGAUAAAAGAAAUUAAAAUGAACUAAGAAAAAGGAACUCGGCAAAUACUUUCUGCGCCUGUUUACCAAAAACAUCGCUUUUAGAAAAGAUUAAAAGUCCUGCCUGCCCGGUGACAUAAAGUUAAACGGCUGCAGUACUCUGACUGUGCAAAGGUAGCAUAAUCAUUUGCCUAUUAAUUGUAGGCUAGUAUCAACGGCUAGACGAUGGAAAGCCUGUCUCUUUCUUAGUAAAUUGAAGUUAACGUUAGGGUGAAGAGACCCUCAUGAAUAAGUGGGACGAGAAGACCCCAUAGAGCUUUAUUUUGAUAUAAUAAGAAUUAUAAAAAGAUUUAGUUGGGGCAACUGUUUUUCUUAUUAGACAAAAGGACUAAAUUUUGGUUUGAGCCUAAUAAACUGACCCAAAAUAUUUUGUAAAUAGAUAAGCUACCUUGGGGAUAACAGCGUAAUUUCAUUUGAGAGUACACAUUGACAAUGAAGUUUGCGACCUCGAUGUUGGAUCAGGCUGUCCUGGAAGUGCAGCAGUUUCCUAGGGUUGAUUUGUUCAAUCAUUAAAAGCCUACGUGACCUGAGUUCAGUCCGUCGUAAGACAGGACAGUUUCUAUCUACUAUUAAAUCUUUUUUUGUACGAAAGGAAUUAAAAGACUAAAAUUAAGAUUAAAGUCUAUUUUAUAUAAACAUUAGAAAUCAUAAUAUA